CUGGCUUUUUGGACUGAACAGAGUGUGUAAACAAGCAUGAAAAGGAGGUUAACUCUCACCAUUGAGAAAUGUUUGGGCUCUUGAAAUCAAUGGGUGAUUCGUGACAACAAGGAAAGGGCAAAUACUGAAGACAAAAAGGCUCCAGCCUGUGGUUGGUAUUCAAUCUUCUCUUAAUAUCAGUGCACUGGACUGCCCUCUGAUGAUUUCCUGGAGAACAACUACAGAAUUCACCUGUUCCAAGCCAGUUUGGGAAGUUAAAGGUGAAUUACUCUUCUAGACCAAAAAAGAUCUCCCAAGACUGAAGGAGGGUGACAGCCUUGAGAGAAGUAAUCAUGAUCUACAGUCUUCUAAGAAUGUAAACAAAGACAAUUCCCAAUUAAUGGCAUGUUUUCUGCUUUAAAAAAGCAUAAUUUCAAAAAGGUCACUGGCCCAGAAUGACUCACAUCCACAGUGUUCCUACCUUGAAGUGGUUUUACUGAAACAAAAAGUCCACCUAGAUCCAAAUACAAAUACAAAAAGCAACUGCCAAGGCAAGAGCAUAAUAACAAGAUUCUUUAGAGCUAGAUACAUAGAAGAUAACAGUCCUCAGAAACAAUGAGGCAAGGUGAGUGAAACUUCCUGCUGAUGACAAUGUACCAUAAAGAGAAAGAAACAAAAAAAACAAGAAGGGAAGGUGACAAAAAAAAAAAAUUACAGUCAUAUUUGAAUCAUCUGUGUGAUUGCCUUUCAUAUUUAAAAAGUUUUUAAAGAUUUGUGUGACUAAAAAAGCAAAGGAUAUCCUGAAGAAUACGGAGGGAUUUCCACUUAUUGUAGUUCACAUGGAUACCAGAUCCACACAAGAGAAGCAAGAUGUGCAGGCCAGAAGGACAGUGUUGAAUAUCCAGAAAAAGAAAAUAAGCCAGAGUGGAUAUCACCAUGUUGCACAACUCAGUGGUCAGUGGUGCCAAAGAAAAGGUAACAAAGAAGACAUCAGGUCUGCAUGGGAUAGAGUGCAAAGGAGCAGUGGGGCUCCUGAAACAACCAAGUGCACUUACAUCCAACUCCUGCCUUCAAAGCUCACCUACAUUUUAGGAGGCCUUUCAGAAGAUUAGGAAGACACUAAAGGGUAACAUCAAUUUGAACAUGUAAAAAUAGCAUUGCUCUUAUACAAAGCAAUGGAAUAGUAGCAGAAGAGACAAAGAGUAAAACCAAAAGUAGUGCAUGUCUGUAGUUAACAACAGAUAAAUGUAAUAGCUGGCUGCACAACAUACUGUACAUCUUUAGAAACCCUAAAAAUGCAUGGAGCUAUGUUAAGGCGGACACUUUACCAGAUGAAUAUGGAAGAUAAAAUCUGAUGGUGAAACAUUUGGCUGAGCUGUACGAUAGCAUAAAUAACCAGAGCAAAGAACAAGUUAUGCUGGAUGCUUGCAGGCGAUCAUUGGGACUGGUAAGGAAAAGAAAUCACUGCUUUUUGUACAGAUUCUGAGGACACUCCAGAAGUUAGUGCAGUGGGGUUAGCAACUCCACAGGAAGAAGUUUUCCCUGUGAAAUAUACUUUUGCUGUAUAGUCACUGAAACACUAAGGAGGAAGAAUAUGUUAGGAGGCAAACUGAGCUGACACAUUAAAACAGCUAUGGCUUAUGUAGGGAAAAAAGCACUGUUCCAGUAGGAAAAUCAGUCAGACAAGCCACAUUGGAUGAGGCCUGUUCCAAUCUGAAUGGCAAAAUCUGUCUCACAAAUGCUCAUUUCAACUUUAAAUAUAAUUAUUUUAGUCACAGCCACUCUUGAUUACUAUCAAUGGAUAGUCCUGUGAAAAGACAUUAUGUUGUUCAAUAUCUUCAAGACAGUGCCACAAGCCAAAAAUCCUGGUUCUUACAUACUAGCUGGAAAGUUUAAAUCAUUAUUUGUCUGAUAGUUUAAGCUGCAAUCACCAAAACAGACAGCUGGACAUGGCCACCUUUAAAUUCAAGUUGUCACUCACAUUUUUUAUAUACAGUAGACACUAUUAGAAUAUUGCCCAUGUGAACCACUGGGGAAAUAUCCACACACAGCAGCCGGAGUCAGGAACACAAGACUGGCAAAGCAGGCAAUGAAGCAGUCCCAUUAAUGGAGAAAGAGAAUUAAAAAAGGCUGCAUUUACCCAUUGUUUAUGAUAACAACCUAUGUUCAUUCCCCUUUUCCUGUGCAUCGGCUGUUUCACCACACACCUUUCUACUGAGCAGCGGAGUAAAUAAAAACUGGUCAUGCUGGCUGACACUGAUAAAAUCAAGUUCACAGGCAGAUAUUUCAAACCCUUUAUUAGCAAGGCCAUAAACUACAUAUGCUGUUUGAUUAGGAUAUGAUGAAAAGAAUUUAUUAGCAGAUGUGUAUUCAGCUACACUGUUUUACUGGCAGCUUUAUGAGAUUCUCUCCUAGGCUGACAGGUGCGGCUUGCCAGCUGCCUUGUACAGCAAACAGGGGAUGGAGACCAUGCCAUGUGCAAUGAUUUAAUCAGUUACCAUCAACUGCUGGAAAAUAAACAAGCUUUUGUGCAUUUCUUUCAGUCCCAUGUAUAUUAAUUGAAACCAAAUAUUACAAAUGACACUGAAAGAGAGUAUCGCUGAUCAGAGGAAACUUAAAUUUAAUAGGACACAGCCAUGUAAUACAUAAAUAUAAUAAAGCACAGUCAUGUAAUACAUAAAUAUUUGGUUAAAAGAUAGCAGAAUUUUGUUAAACUUGGCAAUGGGAAGUCUUUUGAAGUCUCAUUUGUCAGUUUCCAUUCGUGGGACAGUCAAAUCUAGUCAUUUGGGUCACAGCUGGCAAAAGAAAGAUGAUCCUCUUGGUUUAUUGUUCUGAUACAAAAUUGUCAUUACAAAUUGAAAACACAGGGCAAAUAAAAGAGGGCAAAUGGGGAACUUGUGUGGUUACAUAUUUUUAACUGUUGCGUCUGGCUGUACUUUGCUUAAUAGGGGUUGCAGAAUUCAAGAUGUCUAUAUCCUGGGUCUCAUUACUAUUGUUUAAAAUUUCUAUACCACUAGUUUACAAUUAAAACGUUCUUUCUCAAUUCAGUUCUCAUAUCCCGUGUUUUCAGUGCUCUAAAUAUGUGUAACCUGAACUAAUAUUUUUAUUAAGUAUCUGACA